rnacentral:lncRNA from 1 species
GAAAACUGUUCAUUUUUUUAGUGUCAGACCUGAGAAUGUGACUGAGCCAAUCUAGGAGUGUAUGUUCAACAGAAGUACUUUCUAGAUUCUGGGAAACUUGAACAAUAACAAAUACAGAAUUUCAGCAUGAAAUUCUUUACUGGAAGAGGGCUAUAGGAAAAUAUGUUGUUUAAUUUUGAGAUUCUGUAACCUUUUCAGGUGUUCUACAUGAUAAUUAUUGCCUGUUAUACCAUUUUGCACAACAUCUAAAUCAGUGAAUGAAAAGUUUCAUUAAAAGGCUUUAUUAAUGUUUCAAAUAAAUAUGCAGAGAUAUUAAAACCUAAUGGAAAAGAAUAAAAAGAAAAAGAAAAUGUAGCAGAGGGCUUUGCAUUUUUAAAUAUCUGCAUUAAAUGUCAGGAACUUGCAUCCUGACUACAACAUAUCUGAAAUGACUGAUUAAAAGGUGCCUUUUUUUCAUAGAAACACAGACCCUCUUCUUAUUUUUGUAAAUGGAAAAAGAGAUAAAAGUUGUUGGUAUAAAUCCAAUAGUAAUUUCUCCAAAAGCUGUGUCAUAGAGGUUUGUAUUUCUGACCAAUAAUUUUUUAACUUUUCAUUAAAAUGAGCACAAAAGCAAAAUACUUAAGACUGCAAAUUAUUUUUAGUCCCAAAGAAAGAAGGUCAUUGUAUCACAUUUUUCAAAAUAUGUUUCUCAGGACAUGUGUUUGCAUGUCCCAGUUGC